rnacentral:rRNA from 1 species
AAUGGAGGCAACUCUGACCCAGCCAUGCCGCGUGAGUGAUGAAGGUCUUCGGAUUGUAAAGCUCUUUCGGUCGCGAAGAGAAUGACUGUAGCGACAAAAGAAGCCCCGGCUAACUUCGUGCCAGCAGCCGCGGUAAUACGAAGGGGGCUAGCGUUAUUCGGAUUUACUGGGCGUAAAGCGCACGCAGGCGGCUAAACAAGUCAGAGGUGAAAUCCCAAGGCUCAACCUUGGAACUGCCUUUGAAACUGUUUAGCUAGAGUUCGAGAGAGGAUGGUGGAAUUCCUAGUGUAGAGGUGAAAUUCGUAGAUAUUAGGAGGAACACCGGUGGCGAAGGCGGCCAUCUGGCUCGAUACUGACGCUCAUGUGCGAAAGCGUGGGUAGCAAA